AGUGAGGAAUAUUGCACAAUGGGGGAAACCCUGAUGCAGCAACGCCGCGUGGAGGAUGACGCAUUUCGGUGUGUAAACUCCUUUUAUAUGUCAAGAAAAUGACGGUAGCAUAUGAAUAAGCACCGGCUAACUCCGUGCCAGCAGCCGCGGUAAUACGGAGGGUGCAAGCGUUAUUCGGAAUCACUGGGCGUAAAGGACGCGUAGGCGGGAAGCCAAGUCUGAUGUGAAAUCCUAUGGCUUAACCAUAGAACUGCAUUGGAAACUGGUUACCUAGAGUAUGGGAGGGGGAGAUGGAAUUAGUGGUGUAGGGGUAAAAUCCGUAGAUAUCACUAGGAAUACCGAAAGCGAAGGCGAUCUCCUGGAACAUAACUGACGCUAAGGCGUGAAAGCGUGGGGAGCAAACAGGAUUAGAUACCCUGGUAGUCCACGCCCUAAACGAUGAACACUAGUCGUCGGGAUGCUAGUCAUCUCGGUGAUGCACUUAACAGAUUAAGUGUUCCGCCUGGGGAGUACGGUCGCAAGAUUAAAACUCAAAGGAAUAGACGGGGACCCGCACAAGUGGUGGAGCAUGUGGUUUAAUUCGAAGAUACGCGAAGAACCUUACCUAGCCUUGACAUUGAUUGAAUACCCUAGAGAUAGAGUAGUGCCCUUCGGGGAGCAUGAAAACAGGUGCUGCACGGCUGUCGUCAGCUCGUGUCGUGAGAUGUUGG
rnacentral:rRNA from 1 species